rnacentral:ncRNA from 3 species
GCACCAGUGGUCUAGUGGUAGAAU